UACAGAGGUCCCAAGCGUUGUUCGGAUUCACUGGGUUUAAAGGGUGCGUAGGUGGGAAUGUAAGUCAGUGGUGAAAUCUCCGUGCUUAACAUGGAAACUGCCAUUGAUACUAUGUUUCUUGAAUCUUCUGGAGGUUAGCGGAAUAUGUCAUGUAGCGGUGAAAUGCUUAGAUAUGACAUAGAACACCAAUUGCGAAGGCAGCUAGCUACAGGGGUAUUGACACUGAGGCACGAAAGCGUGGGGAUCAAACAGG
rnacentral:rRNA from 1 species